rnacentral:tRNA from 2 species
ACGAGUGUAGUUCAAGGGUAGAAUAGUGGUCUCCAAAACCAUUGAUGGGAGUUCGAAUCUCUCCACUCGUG